AUCCAACUGAUGAGUGCCAAAUAGAACGAAACGCGCAUCCUGGAU
rnacentral:hammerhead_ribozyme from 1 species